rnacentral:rRNA from 1 species
AUGCUUCAUCGGAAGAGAGAACUUUAUUCUCCCAAUUCCCGAACCUUCCCCCAAAACUACGCCUUGUGCCGUUUACGGAAUACCGAAUCUAUCGCAAACCGUAACACCGAUGCGCCCUUCCCGGUACAGCCGCUCGCAAAAUCUCUUUCCACGAAGAGGCGCCUCGCCGCCUCCCCCUCCCGAAUGCCCGCGCCGCGGCAGCUGCCCCUCCUCCUGAAGAUCGCCGCCGCGUCGGCCGCCGGCGCAUUGGCGUUCGUCGCGGCGGCGCGCCUCCUGCGGGAUGACGCGGUCUCCUCCCUCCGCCGGGACAUCCGCGAGGCCGUCGCCGCCCUCGUCUCCAGCAACGAGGACGGCGACGGCGGCGAGGACCAGGGGGACGAGGACGCGCCGCCGCCGUCCAUCCUGAUCACGGGGUUCCGGGCCCACGGGAAGAGCUCGCUCGUGAACACGGCGUGCCGCGCGCUCGCCGGCGAGGUGGGCCCGCUGCUGCUGCGCGCGGAGGCGUCGCCGCCGGGCGGCGGGUCCGACAGCACGAGGAAGCGGCUGAAGGUGAAGGCGGUGGUCUCCGGCGCGGACGGGGAAAUGGGGGCGGAGGAGGCGGUGGUGGAGCUGCUGGACGCGCCGCCGCUCCCUGACGCCGCGAGGCUGACGAGGGAUGCGAUCGACGACGCGAUCAGCAGCGGGAACCCGGAGUGCGUGGUGCUGGUGCUGCGAUGCGACGCGCCCGCCAAGGAGCGGAAUGCGGCCAUCAAGCGCCUGCCGGAGAUCUCUGCCGCCGCGAGGGCGAAAGGGCUUAAUUUGAUUAUUGCAUUGACUUUUAAGAAGUCCGUGAGUUCAGUAAGGCAAGCUGAAGAGCUUCUAAGAGAGGUUUCGUUCAGGGCAAGGACGGAUUGUGUAUACUUCAUCGAGAACUACACCUGGAGCAACAGUGGCUCCAACCUCCUCCACCCCCCUGUCAUCAAGAAUGACUUUGGGACAGAUUUCACCGUGCUGACAAUCAUUCGACAGUGUCUUGAGUUCAUCAAGCUAAAUAGGAGUCAAAAGGAUAAGAGAGACCCCAAGCAGGCAGACACACAGGCAGAUGCUAAAACAGCCCCUAAAGUUUAG